UAGUAGCCCCGUUACCAGGCGUCGGCGCCCUUUCAGACGCCGCUUGACUAAAGGGUCGGACACUUCCUGUGACAGCGAGCCAAUAAGACGAGGCCUCCAUAAAACGGCGACUGCGUUUAAGCAAAUGAAAUACGCGUCCACCGAUAUGCAACACCGUAAUUCCCAGCAGGAAAGAACUUUGAACCGUAUCCCAGAGGAGCAGCAUCCCCCCUUUUGAAGACUGAAAUAAACAGCACCUUUGAGAUGACCCCAACCUGGAUGACUGCAAAUGUUCUCACUCUUUGACCCUUACAUUAGUUAUUUAUUAGGAAGUUUCUUUGUUCCAGUUUUUACCACUGGAAGUCUGUUGAACAAAUA